rnacentral:rRNA from 1 species
ACUCCUACGGGAGGCAGCAGUGAGGAAUAUUGGUCAAUGGGCGAGAGCCUGAACCAGCCAAGUCGCGUGAAGGAAGAAGGAUCUAUGGUUCGUAAACUUCUUUUGCAGGGGAAUAAAGUUCAGGACGUGUCCUGUUUUGUAUGUACCCUGAGAAUAAGGAUCGGCUAACUCCGUGCCAGCAGCCGCGGUAAUAC